UAUCGAAGUGGCGCAUGGACGCCGACUGA
rnacentral:sRNA from 1 species